rnacentral:rRNA from 1 species
UAGAAUUCCACGUGUAGCGGUGAAAUGCGUAGAGAUGUGGAGGAAUACCGGUGGCGAAGGCGGCCUUCUGGACAGAUACUGACGCUGAGAUGCGAAAGCGUGGGGAGCAAACAGGAUUAGAUACCCUGGUAGUCCACGCUGUAAACGAUGUCGAUUUGGAGUUUGUUGCCUAGAGUGAUGGGCUCCGAAGCUAACGCGAUAAAUCGACCGCCUGGGGAGUACGGCCGCAAGGUUAAAACUCAAAUGAAUUGACGGGGGCCCGCACAAGCGGUGGAGCAUGUGGUUUAAUUCGAUGCAACGCGAAGAACCUUACCUGGUCUUGACAUCCACAGAAUCUUGCAGAGAUGUGAGAGUGCCUUCGGGAACUGUGAGACAGGUGCUGCAUGGCUGUCGUCAGCUCGUGUUGUGAAAUGUUGGGUUAAGUCCCGCAACGAGCGCAACCCUUAUCCUUUGUUGCCAUCGGUUAGGCCGGGAACUCAAAGGAGACUGCCGUUGAUAAAGCGGAGGAAGGUGGGGACGACGUCAAGUCAUCAUGGCCCUUACGACCAGGGCUACACACGUGCUACAAUGGCGUAUACAAAGGGAGGCGACCUCGCGAGAGCAAGCGGACCUCAUAAAGUACGUCUAAGUCCGGAUUGGAGUCUGCACCUCGACUCCAUGAAGUCGAAAUCGCUAGUAAUCGUGAAUCAGAAUGU